AGCGAACGCUGGCGGCAGGCUUAACACAUGCAAGUCGAGCGCCCCGCAAGGGGAGCGGCAGACGGGAGAGUAACACGUGGGAACGUACCCUUUAGUUCGGAACAACCCAGGGAAACUUGGGCUAAUACCGGAUACGUCCGAAAGGAGAAAGAUUUAUCGCUAAAGGAUCGGCCCGCGUCUGAUUAGCUAGUUGGCGAGGUAAUGGCUCACCAAGGCGACGAUCAGUAGCUGGUCUGAGAGGAUGAUCAGCCUCACUGGGACUGAGACACGGCCCAGACUCCUACGGGAGGCAGCAGUGGGGAAUAUUGGACAAUGGGCGCAAGCCUGAUCCAGCCAUGCCGCGUGGGUGAUGAAGGCCCUAGGGUUGUAAAGCCCUUUCGGCGGGGAAGAUAAUGACGGUACCCGCAGAAGAAGCCCCGGCUAACUUCGUGCCAGCCGCCGCCGUAAUAC
rnacentral:rRNA from 1 species